CAUGCUGAAGUGUACCCAGUUUAUUCUGAUUUUAGAAAAUAAGUGUUCUCUGGCCUAGCUAGUACUUGGAUGAGAGACCACCUGGGAAUCCCAGGU
rnacentral:rRNA from 1 species